UGGCGACGACCGGCGCACGGGUGCGUACGCGUAUGCAAACCUACCUGUAACAGGGGCAUAACGGAGGGAAACUUCCACUAAUUCCCCAUAUGUUGUGAUACCGCAUGAUAUUGCAACGAAAGCUUCGGUGGUUACGGAUGGGCAUGCGUGACAUUAGCUAGUUGGUAAGGUAACGGCUUACCAAGGCGACGAUGUCUAGGGGAGCUGAGAGGCUUAUCCCCCACACUGGUACUGAGACACGGACCAGACUCCUACGGGAGGCAGCAGUGAGGAAUACUGGUCAAUGGACGGAAGUCUGAACCAGCCAUGCCCGCGUGGAGGAAGAAGGUCCUAUGGGUUGUAAACUCCUUUUGUUCCGGAGUAAUAAGUGGUUUGCGAACCACGAUGAGAGUACGGGACGAAUAAGCAUCGGCUAACUCCGUGCCAGCCGCCGC
rnacentral:rRNA from 1 species